UACAGAGGUCUCAAGCGUUGUUCGGAUUCAUUGGGCGUAAAGGGUGCGUAGGCGGUGAGGUAAGUCGGAUGUGAAAUCCCGGGGCUCAACCCCGGAACUGCAUUCGAUACUGCUUUACUUGAGGACUGGAGAGGAGAUUGGAAUUCACGGUGUAGCAGUGAAAUGCGUAGAUAUCGUGAGGAAGACCAGUGGCGAAGGCGAAUCUCUGGACAGAUCCUGACGCUGAGGCACGAAGGCUAGGGGGAGCAAACGGG
rnacentral:rRNA from 1 species